CAGUAGCCGCGGGAAUACGUAGGGUGCGAGCGUUAAUCGGAAUUACUGGGCGUAAAGCGUGCGCAGGCGGUUCGUUAAGACAGAUGUGAAAUCCCCGGGCUAACCUGGGAACUGCAUUUGUGACUGGCGAGCUAGAGUAUGGCAGAGGGGGGUAGAAUUCCACGUGUAGCAGUGAAAUGCGUAGAGAUGUGGAGGAAUACCGAUGGCGAAGGCAGCCCCCUGGGCCAAUACUGACGCUCAUGCACGAAAGCGUGGGGAGCAAACAGGAUUAGAUACCCCGGUAGUCCCUGUCUCUUAUACA
rnacentral:rRNA from 1 species